UACGAAGGGGGCUAGCGUUGCUCGGAAUCACUGGGCGUAAAGCGCACGUAGGCGGCUUCUUAAGUCAGGGGUGAAAUCCUGGAGCUCAACUCCAGAACUGCCUUUGAUACUGAGGAGCUUGAGUCCGGGAGAGGUGAGUGGAACUGCGAGUGUAGAGGUGAAAUUCGUAGAUAUUCGGAAGAACACCAGUGGCGAAGGCGGCUCACUGGCCCGGUACUGACGCUGAGGUGCGAAAGUGUGGGGAGCAAACGGG
rnacentral:rRNA from 1 species